GAGAGAGCGCAAGAAACAAAAACGGGUGGAUGAGACGGAGAGUAAAUGCGCGCGCACAGUGUUGCUUUGGAAUUCUUCAUUUUCAUUUUAGUAGCUGUUGUUGCUAUAUUGCUGCAGUGGCAACGGGCUACGACUACUAGCAGCAUAUCAAACAGGGAGGCAACGCAGCAGAGCGACAUCGCGAGCCUCUUCGAGCAUAAAAAGAAAAAAGUAAAAUGGGGAAAAUGCUGCUUUGAGUAUUAAAGUAAAUACAUGGUGGCUAUGUAUAUAAUAUGUCGCACACAUAUAAUCUACGCUCAGCACACAAAUGUAUUCACGGCGUGUAGCAAAUCUUGUUGCCGUGCGUUCAAAUGGCAUUCUGUGUGGCAGAAAACAUUUUGUGGUAGCGGCCGAGCGAAUGGAUGUGUGCGGAGCACAGCACGCUGUAUUCAGUCGAAAAAUCACGCCAAACUUCUAUCACCAGAAUGGUUCGACGUUGGAGUAGAGAGGAAGCAUAAUUCGAACAGAAUAUAGACAGAUAGGCAAGAUCACGAGUUAAAUUGUCAUUUUUCGUUGAAGCUUCACGUUUUCGAUGUGUAAUCUAAAACAAUUACGAAAAAUCAAGCAAAGUGCAAAAAUGGCUCAUAAACCUGAAUACGCAAAGCUUACGUAAGUGCAAAAGGCACGACAGUUACAUGCGGUGUGACAGAGUCAGCAUGACUCUCUAAUGAACGGCAACAGGGUGUUUUUAUCGUUCGUCAUGGAGCGCAUAUAGCAUAGCGACACCCUGUCGUGAGAGCGCACUUUUGGUGAGAGAUGAGAACACCCACACUGAGAAAACGGCAUACAAAGAUAGAGGCCACUCGCUCACGAGUUCGGCGGAGCAAUAGCGAUGAUAUUGCAGUACAUAAUGAAAUCGACAAAACUGAAAAUCAGAAACCAAACAGACGAGUAGCUGGCUACAACACUGCCACGGUUACAGUUUGCGGCGGUGGCGACGAUGACGACGCGGCAUACACCUUGCCUCACCUCACUAUCCACUUGGCUCACGCAUACAAACACACGCACGCACACACAUUCAUGCAGUUAUGUACAUAUGUAUGUGUAUAUUCUUUGCAAGUGGUGGUGAAAUUGUAGUUUUUGCUGCUGUCAAAACGGAAACGAGAAGAAGCACAAAUACAGAGACACCACAGCGGGCAUAGAAAGCAACCAGACAAUUCGAGCACAAGGUAAAAAAAAGGAGAAAAAAGUGGAUGCAAGUUGCGGCGAUGCCAACGCCGUCGUCUCACCAUGACAAUGGUGUGUACACAUACAUAUGUAUGCAUAUCGUACAUACAUACAUACAUUCAAUGGCCAGCAGGGAGAGCAUUGGUCUUGCCGCUCUCUUCCCAUCUCUUUUUCUCUGCAAUGGUCAAACACAUGUUGGAAUUUGAUCGGCCGCGAGAAAAGAGCAACUCAAUAACUUAGCGGCUGCGAAGCGUCAAUAAAAAUCUGUAUACUUGCGAAUUGUGCGCUCAUCGUUGUCGUCGCCAUCGUCAUGGUGGUGGUGGUGGAAAUGGAAACCUUGCAAUUAUCGAUUUCUUUUUCAUGCGUUCGCUUCUGCUGCAAUGCGCAGCGGGGGCGGCGAGAGAGCAACUUAAGAGUGGAGAGAGCACUCGACAGAAUGAGAGAGUGAGCGCCACUGUCACCUGCUAGCUACACAACAAAUGCAACUGCAACUGCAAUUGCGUUAGUCAAUGCAAAUCGAGUGAACGAAUUUUUAGACACACAUAUGACGCGCUGCCAAAGUUCAAAGUUCACGAGCAGGCGCCUUGUGCAGCAGCAGCAGCAGUAGAAGCAGUUGCAAACGCCUACAAGAGCAGCGCGUAGCAGAGCCUUAGCGUGCACCUACAAGAAAGGCAAGUGCAAAAGGGACAACCACACAUGUGUGCGUGCAUUUGAAUUGUGUCUAUGUGUGCAUGUGUGUGUGAGCUGCACUCUUAAUAUAUGCAGUCCAGUGUACACACACAGGCACAGAAGUUUGUUUGCCUUUUUCCAGGUACUUCCGCUGCUUGUUUACGUAUAUGCUCUCGGAUGUUAUUUGCUAUUGCGCAACAAUCAUAUUACAAAAAUAUAUAUAUUUAUAUAUGUAUAUAACGAGUAUACACAACAAAUGUGCAGAAAAGCAGCAAAAGAAUUGUCAACAUAAUGCAAAUUGCGAUUCGUGAAGAACAAUAACAACUGUAAUUUUAUGCCGUGUUGCAAAUUUGCCAUCGUCUCUUGUCAAUUUGUAUGUAAAUGUAACAAGAAUUAUUCACGGUAUCAGAUAAUAGAGUUUACAAUUACGUGCAAAAUCAGCAAAAAUGUGCGAAACCCAAAUUCAUAUUGCAUAAAUCGAAACAAUAAGAAAAAGUGCAGCCAUAAAAGAAAACAAAGCAAAAUUUAUGCGGAAGCUCUUUGAGAUUAGCACGUAAAACUCUCAGAAUAAUAUAAUAUUAUUGAUUAAAAAUCAACAUCAUCUUCUGCUAAACUCAAUGAAAAUGCUGAAAACUUUCCAUUCAUUAAAAACGCAAAGAUUGUUAAUGAAUAUCUUUAUAAAUUUGUAUAUUCUUAGGGCGUAGCCCUCUUUAUUGGCGAUAAUAAAUUAGUUAUCAACUCUUCUUUCAGCAGUUGGAAUAGUAAAAGAAGCAUAAUAGCACGUAAAACUGAACGUUUCUUAUAUGAUUGGUUAAGAGCCAAGUUAAUCUGCCGCAAAACUCAAUGAAAAUGUUUUAAAAUCAACUAAAAACAUUCCACUCAGUACAAAUUUAGUCGUAAAUAUGUUUACUAAUAUGCACAUUAAGGCGUAGCCUUUUUUGUUUCAUCAAAUAUAAAUAAUCACAUAUUAGUAAUACACUAUUUUAGUAGUUAAAGAAAUGAAAGAUGUACAAUAGCUAAAGACUGAACACAAAGAUUAGGCAUACAAAGAAAAACCUAAAAUAAGCUAAAAGCUAAAAUCAACCUGAACCCAAAAAUAUUCAAAUUCGACUAUUUAUGUAUAUCAAUAGGCCUGAAAACUUUAUUAUAUUUUCUGUUCUAUAUGCUUUAAAAUGUAUUUGAUAUUAAAGGAAAUAAGAAAUAAGAAUACUAUUAUUGUAUGCCAUUAAGACUUGAUAAGGUUUAUACCACAUUCUGUUUUAAAAUGAAUAUACAUGCUUAACAUGCUGAAACACUGUACAAUUAAAAUAUCUAAAAUUAAUUGUACACAUACAAAAAUUUCGCACUAAAUGUUUGCAUUAGGGUUCAGCAUUCAUUGGCCCUUGGCAAAAUAUACAUAUUAGAAAAAAUAAUCAAACAAAGAAAAAGGCAAUUCUUAAAGAAAACACGCUUAGGCUAGUCUCUAUUUACAUAAAAGGUGACACAAAACAAAUACUAAAUACUAGAUUCACUUGACUAAGGGACUAACUUUAAAUACACUUUAAUAUUUGAGUGCGAAAAUGGUAAAAGUAUAAAAACUAAACCUUUUAAGACUUUAACUUUAUUUAAUGCAUUUUUUUGUAUUAAAUUAUUAUUAAAUAAUUUGACAAUUGUUGCAGGCAAAUUUGUCAACAACUGAACAACUCAAUGCUAGAGUAUUUUGAACAAAGUGCGAUCGUUUGUAACUAUAACUCGUUUUUCAAGUUUCACGUCUUUUUGGUAAAUGAGCAGAGGAGUAAAAGAGAAGGCAAUAAAAAGCCAAAAGCUUCGCAGCAAACCCCAAACUAAAAACCAGACUUGGUAAAAAAAAAAAAUACAAAUACAAAUUUAGGUCUUAUCAAGAAAAUGCAAAGAAGCAAAGGAACGGGCGAGGUAGCGAAUGGAAUAUGCUAGAAAUGCAAACAGAAAAUGUGAAAAUUGUGAUAGAAAAUAUAUCUAAAAGCUAUGAAUGUAUCUAUAAGCUCUUGUGCUUCCCGGUAAACCACAAACAUUUCAAAUUGAAAUAUAUGAAACACAUUUAAAAUUA